rnacentral:rRNA from 1 species
UCUGAAAAGGGCGCAAGUCAGCUGCUGUAGACGCGAAACUUAGUGAUCUACCCAUGGCCAGGUUGAAGCUCCGGUGACACGGGGUGGAGGACCGAACCAAUUAACGUUGAAAAGUUACUGGAUGAGUUGUGGGUAGGGGUGAAAGGCUAAUCAAACUGAGAGAUAGCUCGUACUCUCCGAAAUGUCUUUAGGGACAGCCUCGGAAUAGAGUAUCUGCGAGGUAGAGCUACCGAUAGAGCUAGGGGGUUUCAUCGCCUGCCAAACUCUGACGAACUCCGAAUGCGCAGAUAUAUGUCCGGGAGUGAGGGCUGGGGUGCUAAGGUCACAGUCCGAGAGGGGAACAACCCAGACCGUCUGCUAAGGUCCCGAAAUGUAUGACUAAGUUGGAGAAACGCGGUCAGGCCGCAGAGACAGCCAGGAUGUUAGCUUGGAAGCAGCUAUUCAUUUAAAGAGUGCGUAACAGCUCACUGGUCGAGCGACCGGCA